GGCCAAUCAAGUCCAUCAUCAGCGAUGCUGUCACUGUUUGCGACGCUCGCAGCCAGUAUCAUUGCGCUUCUGGACUAAACGAUUUCAAAAUGACUCGAAGGAAGUUUAAGCCUUGCCCUGCCAAGCACCUAACCAGCUGAGCCGCAAAUCCUGCAGCUCUUGUUUCACAGCCAUCUCCAAAAAACCCAAAGUAAUGGCCCAAAAAGUGUCCCUGGACAGGAAGUGGGGGGAAAGGGUCCUAAAAACGAAGAGUGGUGGACUCUGCCCAUA